CCUACGGGGGGCAGCAGUGGGGAAUAUUGGACAAUGGGGGCAACCCUGAUCCAGCCAUGCCGCGUGUGUGAAGAAGGCCCUCGGGUUGUAAAGCACUUUCAGUGAGGAAGAACGCCUGGUGGUUAAUACCCAUCAGGAAAGACAUCACUCACAGAAGAAGCACCGGCUAACUCCGUGCCAGCAGCCGCGGUAAUACGGAGGGUGCGAGCGUUAAUCGGAAUUACUGGGCGUAAAGCGCGCGUAGGUGGCUUGAUAAGCCGGUUGUGAAAGCCCCGGGCUCAACCUGGGAACGGCAUCCGGAACUGUCAAGCUAGAGUGCAGGAGAGGAAGGUAGAAUUCCCGGUGUAGCGGUGAAAUGCGUAGAGAUCGGGAGGAAUACCAGUGGCGAAGGCGGCCUUCUGGACUGACACUGACACUGAGGUGCGAAAGCGUGGGUAGCAAACAGGAUUAGAUAUCCCUGUAGUC
rnacentral:rRNA from 1 species